rnacentral:rRNA from 1 species
AACGGCAUUAAGUGCUUGCACUUUUUGGACGUCGACCGGCGCACGGGUGAGUAACGCGUAUCCAACCUUCCCAUGACUAAGGGAUAACCUGCCGAAAGGCAGACUAAUACCUUAUGGUCUUCACUGACGGCAUCAGAUGUGAAGUAAAGAUUUAUCGGUUAUGGAUGGGGAUGCGUCUGAUUAGCUUGUUGGCGGGGUAACGGCCCACCAAGGCAACGAUCAGUAGGGGUUCUGAGAGGAAGGUCCCCCACAUUGGAACUGAGACACGGUCCAAACUCCUACGGGAGGCAGCAGUGAGGAAUAUUGGUCAAUGGGCGAGAGCCUGAACCAGCCAAGUAGCGUGCAGGAUGACGGCCCUAUGGGUUGUAAACUGCUUUUGUAUGGGGAUAAAGUCAGUCACGUGUGAUUGUUUGCAGGUACCAUACGAAUAAGGACCGGCUAAUUCCGUGCCAGCAGCCGCAGUAAUACGGAAGGUCCGGGCGUUAUCCGGAUUUAUUGGGUUUAAAGGGAGCGUAGGCUGGAGAUUAAGUGUGUUGUGAAAUGUAGACGCUCAACGUCUGGCUUGCAGCGCAUACUGGUUUCCUUGAGUACGCACAACGUUGGCGGAAUUCGUCGUGUAGCGGUGAAAUGCUUAGAUAUGACGAAGAACUCCGAUUGCGAAGGCAGCUGACGGGAGCGCAACUGACGCUGAAGCUCGAAGGUGCGGGUAUCGAACAGGAUUAGAUACCCUGGUAGUCCGCACAGUAAACGAUGGAUGCCCGCUGUUGGUACCCGGUAUCAGCG